AUACUUAACUGGCAGGGGAGAUAGCAUGAUCACAAAGGUGGUUUUCCUGUGUGAGGCUCACCCAUUGCACUCUGGGUGUGCUGACCCUUUAGAUUUCCCCAAAUGCGAGAAACUUUUCACUGCAUAAUUUGUGGUAGUGGAGGACUGUGUUUACACUCUCCCCUG
rnacentral:snRNA from 1 species